GAAGUAAGUGUGUAAUUCUGUACAGAAAAUACUUGCUCCGCAGAAUGGAGACACACACUGACAGUUUCAUUCCACUUGUAUCCUAUUUCCUUCCUAUUCAGCUCUUGGAGCUAUUUACACUUGUAAAAGAAGAGUCCUGAUGAGUCUAAGGCCCUUGCAACCCUAAGCUUCAGCACCACAACAGGGAAGAAAUGCAGAAAAAGACAAGGUUGUGGCAGUCAUCUACAACUUGAGGAGUGGUUUAUUUUGUACGUGUGGCUUGAUUCCAGUUUGCCUGCCCUGCCAGUAUUUCCACCUAGGAGCAGGGAAACAGAAAGUAGGUUUUCUCCCACCAGAGCCUCAUUUCUUAAAUUUCCUUUUCUUAGUGAAGAAAACAAUUAUCUAUUUAUUAAAAUGGGAGAUAGAAGGACAAUGAAAAUGAUACCCUUAACAGAUAAGGUAACACUCUUGGUAGCGUUCGCUUUAAUACCAGUUUUGGGUAGACCUGUGUAUUUCUGACAGGAAGUUUUCCCACCUGUAAAAAAAGUCAUGGCUACCUCCCUCAAAAUGCCAUCUGGCUGGAAUACCCAUUUUGUGCUUUCUUCACAUAGUUUAUUCUUUUCUUCAUAUACUUGAUUUUCUUCAUUGCUAUUCUAAUAAUUUAACUUUCUCAUAGAUGUAGCAUUAAAUUGCAUACUAAUUACAGGCAUGCUAUUGUAGAAUAAAUUCAGUUCUAAGUAUGUGACAGAAAAGAGACUGAAAACAGUGCCUAAUAAGAGCUCUUGAAGUAACGUCCUAACACCACACUAUUACAUAAGAAAUAAUUAAUGAAAAACAAACAACGCAGUUUUUUAAUAUACUUAGCUCACAUGAGUGUUGAUCAACUGUUGGGAUAAAUGAUACAAAAUAAAGCCUAAAAUCAAAAGGCCACGUAAGGUCUGAACAAAAAGAUGUUGCUGAGUACUGCGAAUAGUGGCAAUGUAUCAGUUUCCCACAGGAAAAGAGCAAAGUCCCAAGGCUAAUCUUGUACUAGCUCCUGCUGCAUGGUGAUUACUCACAUUCAGAGUGUGGCUAGUAAGGAUUUUUCUUCUCCAGGACAAACAAGGCUGAAGUUUGUAAUUUUUCCUCAGUUCCACAAGAGCUUCUCUUUGACUGAGAAAGCAUCCAUCUACUUUUCCUUCCUGGCAUUUGUAUCCAAAUUGAUGGUAUCUUGAUUGCAUUGCAUCUAGAUGCUGCCCCUUGUUUCAUAAACAAGAAAACUUUCAUUCUAGCACCUGUCAAAUGUUAGCCAUUAGUUCAUCAUUAUGGAACUGUGUGCCAUCAAAAACAGAUUAUGGUAUUCCAAAACUUAACUCCCAUGAAAUGUAAAGAUGAACAAUGCUACUUCCCAGUGACCUGGGACAAAAGAGGCCUGGGGUUCCAAGUGAGGAUACAGAACUAUUAGCCAUGACUCCCAGCAGUCAUGUUAUUAGAACACUUCAUUCUCUUCAUCUUUUGUUCCAUUUCUCUGUGUUUGUACAGGUGAGGAGAUAGGCUGAAACUCACCAGGAUUACUUUUCUGCACGUGUAGUUACAGCAGUUGGACCGAGAUGAGCCAUCAUCACCGAGGUGCAGAGCAGCAGACUGGUGAGAUCAUUCCUUUUACACUCACUCACACAGAGGCAGAAUCAGUUUCCAAGCCCAACUUUCUAUUUUCUCCGAUCUGCGCAGGAGAAAGAGGCUAAAAGUUGAGUUACAGCAUUCCUUCUUGCAAGUGGCAGCCAGCACAAGACAGCAUUACAAUUCACAAAACUGUGUUUGACAACAUUAAGUGAUCUCCCAGCAACAAAAAAGGCGUUUUCCUCUUUCCUGAACUCUUGAGAAAACUUUCCUGAGGGAUUUCCCAUGGGAAACGAUCCCAGUUGCACAUAACAGGCAGUGCGGUGGUCCCUGCAGCCGGGCACCCCUGCACGCUAUUUUUCCAUGCAGCUGCCCACCUGGCUCCUCUCACUUCCCUCAGCCCUCCCAGCUGCACAAACAGAGGGGCACGCAGCCAUCUCAACGCGCUUCCUCCUGCGGCCCUGCAGGGCGGGCCGGCCGGCCGUCCUGCUCGUACAGCAACUGCUUUAACGGCCCGAGACAUCCAGCUCUUCCCCAUUACGUGCACCACGGGACCGGGCUGCUCCCCGCAGCGCGCACGCGGCUCGGGCCCUACCGGGCAGCGCUCAGCAGCGCGCUCAGCGCCUAUGUGGCCACGAAGGCUGGAAGCGAGCGCGCCCGCUCUGCGCUAAGGUCUGCGUUCGGUCUCUAUUCAGCACGUGUAAACGUCAGUGCGGGGUGAAAAGAGAAACUGCAACGAAUGUCUGGAAAGCUGAGCGCUCAGUCCUCGGCAGGAAUCUGGACUCUGCUAGAGGCUCCUCAGACACCCGGCAAUCACAGAGCCGUUGAGGCUGGAGACGAGCACUGAGACGGGCACGGCCGCUAAGCGCGCCCCUCAGCGCCGCACCUGCGCGGCUGUCCCCACCGCCCCCCGGCAGUCCUCCG
ensembl:lncRNA